rnacentral:rRNA from 1 species
UACGUAGGAUGCGAGCGUUGUCCGGAUUUAUUGGGCGUAAAGAGCUCGUAGGCGGUUUGUUAAGUUUGGGCUUAAAGACUGGGGCUCAACCCCAGGAGUGGCUCGAAAACUGACAGACUAGAGGAUGGCAGAGGAAAGUGGAAUUCCCCGUGUAGCGGUGAAAUGCGUAGAUAUUGGGAGGAACACCAGUGGCGAAAGCGACUUUCUGGGCCAUUCCUGACGCUGAGGUUCGAAAGCUCGGGGAGCAAACAGG